rnacentral:rRNA from 1 species
GUCGAGAAUAGUCUACAAUGGUCGAAAGACUGAUAGUGCGACGCCGCGUGAACGAAGAAGCCCUUCGGGGUGUAAAGUUCUUUUAUAUGUGAGCAAUGGGUUCUAUGUGAACAGCAUGGGAUCAGAGAUAUUAGCAUAUGAAUAAGCAACGGCUAACUCCGUGCCAGCAGCCGCGGUAACACGGGGGUUGCGAGCGUUGUCCGGAAUUACUAGGCGUAAAGGGCAGGUAGGCGGAAGCAUAAGUUUCAUGUUAAAGGCAUCGGCUCACCCGGUGUAUGGCAUGAGAUACUGUGGUUCUAGAAUGCGGUUGGGGAAGAAAGAAUGCCUGGUGUAGCGGUGGAAUGGGCAGAGAUCAGGAGGAAUACCGAAGGCGAAGGCAGUCUUCUAAGCCGAUAUUGACGCUAAACUGCGAAGGUGUGGGUAUCAAACAGGAUUAGAAACCCCAGUAGUCC